CGUAGGGUAGACUAACGGAAAGUCACCAGACUCAUGAUCUGGUGAUGCAGGUUCGACUCCUGCCUCUACAA
rnacentral:tRNA from 1 species